rnacentral:rRNA from 1 species
UACGUAGGGGGCAAGCGUUGUCCGGAUUUAUUGGGCGUAAAGAGCGUGUAGGCGGCCAAGUAGGUCCGGUGUGAAAACUCGAGGCUUAACCUCGAGAUGUCAUCGGAAACCAUUUGGCUAGAGUCCGGAAGAGGAAAGUGGAAUUCCUGGUGGAGCGGUGAAAUGCGUUGAUAUCGACCGGAACUCCGGUGGCGAAGGCGGCUUACUGGUCCGGUUCUGACGCUGAGGCGCGAAAGCGUGGGGAGCAAACAGG